rnacentral:rRNA from 1 species
GACGAACGCUGGCGGCGUGCUUAACACAUGCAAGUGGAGCGACGAACCAGGCUUCGGCCUGGGGCAAAGCCGCGAACGGGUGAGUAACACGUGGGUAACCUGCCCCGAUGACCGGGACAACUCGAGGAAACUCGGGCGUAAUACCGGAUGUGCUCGUACUACAUCAGUGGUACGUGCAAAGGUAGCUUCGGCCUCCGCAUCGGGA